GGCUGCAGAGAGACCGGCGAGACUGGAAUACUGCAGCCUGCUGGGAAAACAUCACUGGUCCACUUCCUCACCCUUAAACCACUGUGACCUCUGAGGAGACAUGACUGCAUGCCAUGUUUUGUUCAGUCGAUCAGCUGUUCAGUUAUUCUCGUCCUGAGGUUCAAGUCACCCGGCAGAGCAGAACAUUGAUCCACCAAUCGAAGAUGUGGGUUGUGCAUGGCACGUCUCCUCC
rnacentral:lncRNA from 1 species